rnacentral:rRNA from 1 species
CUUAACGCGAAGAACCUUACCUAGGCUUGACGUCCCUUUGCAAAGCCCUUAACCGGGCUCCUCUUGUUCGCAAGACAAAGGUGACAGGUGGUGCAUGGUUGUCGUCAGCUCGUGUCGUGAGAUGUUGGGUUAAGUCCCGCAACGAGCGCAGCCCCUAUUUUUAGUUGCCAUCAGUUAGGCUGGGCACUCUAGAAAGACUGCCGAGGACAACUCGGAGGAAGGUGGGGAUGACGUCAAAUCAUCAUGCCCCUUAUGCUUAGGGCUACACACGUGCUACAAUGGCUGUUACAAAGGGCUGCGAGACCGCGAGGUGGAGCCAAUCCCAUAAAAACAGUCUAAGUUCGGAUUGUAGGCUGAAACUCGCCUACAUGAAGCCGGAGUUACUAGUAAUCGCAGAUCAGAAUGCUGCGGUGAAUGCGUUCCC